GUGGAGAGCAUAUUCUGUCCUAUUGCCCUAGCUGCUGAUAAGGACGUCAAACAGCAUUGGCACAGCACUGACCCCUGAGGAAGGGUGCUGGCACCCAGCUGCUGCCUGGACUUUGCACACCUGAUGGCGGUGCUUAGUGCCCAACAUUCCAACCUCUGCUUUGCCUGUCCUCACUUUGGCUGAGGAUGUGACUCAAGAGGGUGCCCACCAGCAUUUCAGCUUGCAGGAUCUCACUUCUGGAGCAGUACCCGGGAAGGCCUGCAGCCCAGAUGUCUACAAUACACGUGGGUUUUCAAGGAACGUGGUCCACAAUCAGCAUGAGCAAAUCUCGUCUAUACUUCAAACUUUGGAUCCCAAAGCAGAUCGUCUGCUCUUUAAGGAUUAAGACAGGUUAUAGUAUCCGCUUCAGACAUGGAGUCCUUGCAAAAGAGCAUCCUGCUUCCUCUGUCUGAUAUCAGUAGUUAACCUUCUUCACAGCGAUCUCUGGUUUGCUGAAGGCUUGGGUACCUGGUCCUUCACCCUGCCCCCAUCCCCUGGGGUGAUGACUUAAGUUAUGCAGAAAUUCUGCAUUUGUUUUGCUAUUCUUCUGUUAAAAAAAAAUAUGAAACUCAACUUGUUGAGCAAAUAACACAAAAAAGAGCGCAGAAUUGCACGACCUACACAUACACUACUGUAACAAAGGUUUGUUUGGUGUCCUCCGUGCAUUUCUUGGGUACACUAUUGGUGGUGCUCAGUAAAUGUUAAGCCCUACAGAAGUUACGAUUUUCUUUCCUUUUGUGUACAGUUAACGACUUUGUACAUUGCAGACAUAGAUCAAAUAUCAUGCUAACACCUCUCACUUGUUGAAUCAGACACCCCAUCAAGAGUUGAGAUAAAUGGCCCAGCGACAGGAAUUGUUUAAGUACGCGAAUGAAUGAGCAAUCACCCAUGAGCAAAGCUGACGACUUAGCAUCUGGAUGCUGCUAUUUCAUGAAGACCACGCUACAUCCUCUGCAGUUCUUAACUGCUUUGCACCUUUUGUUGCAGACCGAUGGUCCUCUACCUUGAAGUCUUAUUGAAAAAAAAAAAAAAAUAAGAGCAAACAUUUGCUUUGAGGUUGUGCAAACGCCUGUCCCUGUCUAUCUCCUUGAAUCUGUUGAUGCUGUCCCAGCAGAGGAAGAUGAAAGGUCAUCAGCAGAAAAUCUAUUUUUUUAAUUUGGCCUUGGUCUAUGGAAGGAAAAUAAUAUUGCAACAUGGCUUACAUAAGAAUACAGGCCCAGGCAAAUUCAUUCAUGCGAUGAAAUCAUACAGCCUUCAAAUACUGCUGGCUCUCCAUGUUGGAAUAGAAUAAGGUGGAAAGAAUAUGUUGCCGAAGAGUACUAAUAAACAUCUGUACACAGAAUAGGUGAGGCCUACAGUCAACGGCAGUUCAUAAUUGCACAAAGUUGGGAAAAUUUUUCUCUAACAGCUUGCUCACUCAUCUUUACCCCAAAAAUGAGACAGAGGGGAGUCUCCAGCUUUCUCUCCCCCCAGGAUUUCUCACAGUAUCUGGGAUUGAAACCCCCCUUUUAUCCCUAUCCUUCAACUGUAUUGUUUCUCCUCGUUUCCUCACUGGCUGAAGUACUGAGGUUACAGACUUCCUGGUCCACCCAAUACAUGUUCCCCCUUGUAUGUCAUCCCCUUUUGUAUCAUGUAUUGUGUGUGUAAUUAACUCCAACUUCAUGCAGUUCAGGGAGGAGAAGUUAAUUAUGCUACUAAAUCUGCUCAGCACGUCCAAAGUUUGUAAGUUCAGUUGUUGACAGACCUUCAUAACUAAAAUCUUGUUUGGUAAGAAUGUACAGACACCAACAGGAGAGGAAUCUGCAAGCCUCUGCACAAGUUUGUGAGCAAGGGCAUCUUGUUUGCAAACCUCUGGGUAAAUAACAUUGUUAGCAAGGACAUCUUGUUUGUAAGCCUCUUUUGUUUUGUGUGAAGAGCAAAUGCAAGAUAUAAGGGAGCUAAUACUUUGGUUAUUGUAAAACCAUGUGCUUUAUAAGCACCAGUACCUAAUUAUGACCUUAAUUAUUAUAGUUCUGUGAAUUGUUAAAUAAAUGCUUUCUAAAUCACUAUGCAAAACUAUUGCAGCUCUUACUCUUCAUUCAUUUACUUGUUUAGUCGUUUUUACGAUGGUAAGCCAUACAAACGUUAUGCUGUGCAUAUAAUUUUGUAGGUAGUCUGCUGCUUGAAAUACAUUUUCUGUUUCCUUGUUUUGAGCACGGGUCCUUCUCAUUUCACGUGUUGGUCUUGGCUCUUAAAUGGAGCACUUACCUUUGGUUAUUGAAAGGGUUGCAUGAUGGCCUGGAUUCCCGCUACUCAAAUAAGCUCUGAAUUGCCUAACUUCUCUCCCCACAUCUCCCUCUUCAAUAAAACAAACAUCCUCCAGACCACAGCAAACCUGGUUUGGUGAGUAUGUUUCUCCAGGCUGCACAGCCUGUUUUUUGGAAAGGGUUUUACCCAGCUCCUGUACCUGAAAAGAGCUUGAUUUUGUC
ensembl:lncRNA